CCUACGGGGGGCUGCAGUGGGGAAUAUUGCGCAAUGGGCGAAAGCCUGACGCAGCGACGCCGCGUGAGGGAUGAAGGUCUUCGGAUCGUAAACCUCUGUCAGCAGGGAGGAACGGUCACUGUGCUAAUCAGCAGUGAAUUGACGGUACCUGCAAAGGAAGCACCGGCUAACUCCGUGCCAGCAGCCGCGGUAAUACGGAGGGUGCGAGCGUUAAUCGGAAUUACUGGGCGUAAAGCGCUCGUAGGCGGUAUGUCAAGUCAAGGGUGAAAUCCCCGCGCUCAACGUGGGAACUGCCUUUGAAACUGGCAAACUGGAGUGUGUUAGAGGAUAGUGGAAUUCCAGGUGUAGGAGUGAAAGCCGUAGAUAUCUGGAGGAACAUCAGUGGCGAAGGCGACUAUCUGGCACAUAACUGACGCUGAGGAGCGAAAGCGUGGGUAGCAAACAGGAUUAGAUACCCCAGUAGUC
rnacentral:rRNA from 1 species